CGAGCUGCAUAGAACGACUUUUAAUGUCUUAUUUAUUAUGCUUCACUAGAUUGGGAGAAUAGUUUGAUUGAUUAAUUGAUUAAUUGUUAUCAAUCUCUUAAAUUUGUGCCACCACCCCAGUACGACUGCAAUAUAAUCAACUCUAGUGCUUUUCCGGGGUGGCUCACAGAAACUUCAUACGAAAUAGACGGUUGAACAAUUUCAUAUAAAACCCCUUUCUCAGAAGUACCUCGAUCAUUUGCUGUAGGUAUGUUUAUGUAAAGAUCAGUAAUUGACGAGGAUGAUUGACAAUAACUGACAUUUCCUCCUUAAUUCAUCAGCAUACUACGUUGCUUGGACUGGAAUCAGUUUUCUUGAAGUUAUUUAAUAAGAUUCAAUUUUGCAUAAUUGAAAAUAUUGUUGUCGAUUCUGCAUGUUGAGUAGUUUUUGAACUCAUAAGUUUAGCGUAAUAAAUAUUGUUCAUGGAAAAGUAUGGUGCCAACGGUUUCAAGAAGCACACAAUUGUACCUCACAAUCAAAACUAUCAGUAAUGAGUUUUUGUUCGGGUUCCCAUGGAUGACUGUACUUUAAAUAACCCAACAUUUCGCAAUUCAACUGACUCCUUCUCCAAGCAUGUGAAUUGUUUGCAAAAUAUCAUUACAGAUCAACAAAUAUUAAGUUUACCUUGGAAUCCUUUCAAGACUUGACUUGACGCAUGAAAAUGGUUGUUGUGGUCCAUUCUAAGCAGUUCUAUUCACUCUUUAAAUUCUAAAUAUGGAAAAUUGCCAAUUCAACAUUAUGUUAUGACACGUUUGGGUAUCCAUACAAUUGGAAAUAUGGUUGGGAAGUGACAGAAUAUUGAAUUUAAACUAAUGUAAGAGAAUUUUUAAGGCUACUCAGUUUUCAUAGAAGCGAGUAGGUGGCCCUUUGUAAGUCAAUGUCAGACAGACGCAUAAUUGAUUCUUUAAAUUGGUACGUAAAUAGAUUUCAGGGUCACAAUUACUGUUUUUCGUAGGUGACGAUCAAUAAAAUGACAUAAAAAACAUACUUUUAUACGUAUUUACAUACAUAUGUAUGACAAAGACUAAAAGAUCGUAACCAAUUAUAUUGUAUGUAUUACGAAGUGUAGAAGAAGCGAUUUUUGCAACUUGACUUCUGCAUUUACAAUUGUUUAAACAUAAUUACUUAAAGUUUGAGACAGAUAUGUCGUUAUCUGUUCUGGAGUUAAUUGCAAACAACGUGAAAAAGAAAAGUAUUUUAUUUUUAUUUUAUUUAUUUUCCUCUUCAAUCGUAAUAUAUCAUUUUAUAAUGUGUAUGUUUAUUAUUAUUAUUAUUAUUGAUAGCAACCGUUUUGUAAUUGUAUUAAAUAUUUAAAUGUCAUUAUCGUCAUCUUACUCUAAUUAGUCAACUAUUGAAUAAUAUCUCAUAGAAUAACCAAAUAUCACCAGCUAGUUGUAAACAUUAGUAAAUUGAAUAUUGAAAUAUUAUCGUAAACGU